UUAUUUAGACUUGAAAUAAAAGAAAAUUUAUGUUUCCAGAGUUGUGAUUAAUCAUAAUUCAGUUGUUGAACAGAUGAAAUUGUAGAGUGUGUGGAAGAAGCAUAACUGCAUCGUCUGCUGUCAUCAAAAAAAACUGCAUCUUCUUCUGUUACUAUUGAAAAUGAUCAAUUGACAUACGAUCAAUUGACAUACAUGUAUAGAUCAAUUUAGAUCAAUUUAGAUCAAUUGACAUACAUGUAUAGAUAAUAUCGCUCCACCCAGGGCUUCUCUCAAAGAGGUCCUUCAAUAAGUGGUGUUCUAAUGGCGGUAUGGAUGAGUCCUCCUUCAAAUGGAGGGCUCAUUCAUACCGGGGUGUUGGGAGACACCGAAGAUCAAACAGCAAUAAAAGAGUUAUAAAUAACUUCUAUCAGUUAUGAUAUUUAUAACUUUUUUGUUGCUGCCUUUUCUUCGGUUAUUAUUAUUUUUUUUAUAUUGUAAUUUUUUUUUUGAAUUGUAAUUUUUUUGUUCAAG
rnacentral:misc_RNA from 1 species